CGUACACUCCUACGGGAGGCAGCAGUGGGGAAUAUUGGACAAUGGGCGCAAGCCUGAUCCAGCCAUGCCGCGUGAGUGAUGAAGGCCCUAGGGUUGUAAAGCUCUUUCACCGGUGAAGAUAAUGACGGUAACCGGAGAAGAAGCCCCGGCUAACUUCGUGCCAGCAGCCGCGGUAAUACGAAGGGGGCUAGCGUUGUUCGGAUUUACUGGGCGUAAAGCGCACGUAGGCGGACGAUUAAGUCAGGGGUGAAAUCCCGGGGCUCAACCCCGGAACUGCCUUUGAUACUGGUAGUCUUGAGUUCGAGAGAGGUGAGUGGAAUUCCGAGUGUAGAGGUGAAAUUCGUAGAUAUUCGGAGGAACACCAGUGGCGAAGGCGGCUCACUGGCUCGAUACUGACGCUGAGGUGCGAAAGCGUGGGGAGCAAACAGGAUUAGAUACCCUUGUAGUCCC
rnacentral:rRNA from 1 species